UACUGAGGACUCCAUGUAUGGAUGCAAUACUCCAGGUAAGGCCUCACCAGCACAGAGGAGAAUGGCAGAAUCACCUUCCUUACCCUGCUGGCCAUGCUUCUUUUGAUGCAGCCCAGGAUACAGUUGGCUUUCUGGGCUGUGAGGGCACACUGCUGGCUCAUGUCCUAUCCUCCAGUACCCCCAGGUCAUUUUCAGCAGGGCUGUGCUCUAUCCUUUCAUCCCCCAGCUUGUACUGAUUGGAGGGUUGCUGCAACCCAGAUCUUGUUCAGCAGUAGCAGGUUGGAGGGAGGUUCUUCAGAAAGUGGUUUUCUGUUUGUUGUUUUUGAAUUUAUUUGUUUUUAAUUAUUUUUAAUUCAAUACAUGUUGAUAUUGCCUUUAUCUUAUGGUGUAACUCAAGGUGAAAAAAAAAUAUCCAUUUUUACACUGGGAACAAGCACUAGGAAACACUUUAAUUGAAUUACUUCUUAAAGCCGGAGCCCCUGGCAGGAGGGGUAGUUUUGCUUUCUUUUAUUUCCAGCAUCCAACCUGUUUUGUUCCAGUUUUCUGAAAGGGAAAGCCCACCUUUUUCUGUAUUUUUACUCACAUUCUUAAGCGAAUUAGCUGAUCCCCAGUGUGUGAGACACAUACCAGCUCCCCUUGGGUUUCCUGGGCUGCGUUUGCCCUGUAUUGGUGUCCUUCUGCUAGGCAAGCAGGCAGUGUGAGGUGGGAUGCAGGGCUGUGGAUACACUCAUGGCAUUGUUAAUUAAACCUGCAGCCAGCUGGUGGCACCCGGAGCAGAAAGCAGAGCUCCUUAUUUGAUAAAACACUUAUUUGUACGAGGGACUGCUCUUUUGAAAGGUAGGUGUUUCAGGGUGCUGUCUUGUGGCUUUGAACACACGGGUUAUAUUUUCAUGAUAAUUUUUAACAUUCAGCCCUACUGCUGCACCUUCUUUUUUUUGUUACUUUAUGAGAAUGGCACAAAAGAAAUUAAACACUGGCACAAAAGCACAAUGGUUUCAGAGCAAUCAUCAGAAAUAUAACCGUAGGUUACAUCAGAUGGAAAAAAAAAAACACACAGGGUGUGUGUGGGGGAAAUCCUGUUCCAUUGGGUUGCAAACCAAAUGGCCCUGAACUAAAAAUAAUCUUUCUAUUGUUCCACAGAAUGUGAGUACAAAAUAAUAUGCUAAGUCUGAUACCACUAAAAGUCCUGUUUUUUUUUUCUCUGCAUAUAUUUAAUGUAUUUGGAAUCAUGCUGGGGACAGGAUCCAGUUCGUACAUUCAUCGAGUGUAGAUGUGUUCUCCCUGCACAGAAGUACAUUUUUCAUAAGGAAAACAUUACCCUGACAAAACUCAUUUCUCCUUAAUGAGUCUAUUAGGUUAAGUGAAAUAAAUCAUGGAAGUUCCUCCUUUUUCUUUCUUUUUUUUUUUUUUCUUUUCAGAAUAGCUGAACAGUGCGAUAAAGAGGCUUGACUAAUUCAGUGUCCUGGGGGCUUUCAGGGGGAAGAAUAGGGAAGGGUGAGGUGGGGCCCCUCAGCUCUUCAGCCUGCAAACAGGACUGGAUAAAGGCAGGAUUUAACAUGAAGCUCAGGCUGGAAUAAUGCUUCUCCACUAAAAGGAAGCUGAACUCGGUAGAAUUGUUGCUGGUGAUGAAAGGAAGGGAGUUGCUGUUGUUAGCAAAGGACGGUGGAAAAGCAACAGGUAUUUCAGGUUUGGAAGAAGACCUUCACAGAGCUAUUUGGUGAUCAAGGGUCAGUGGUCAGAUUUGGUAUGUAUCUUGCACUCAGCAGCCCAUUAGGAAGGAUGCAAUGAGGUUCUGGAAUUCCAGGUGGGUGUUUAGGGCUGAGGAGCAGUCAACGUGAAGACCCUUGGGAUAUAGUAAAUACUGUCAGCAGCAUAUUUUUAACAUCUCAGUCAUUGAUGGAAAGGAAAUAGGAUCUUUGCCUACCAGAUGAAAUAGCAUUUAAGUAGGAAAUGUUGUGCUUGUCUGGUAAAAGUAUAUAGCAGUCAGAUUGGCAAAACAUUAAAAGAAAGUGCUAUAUUUUUUCCAGCUUAUAGCUUGCUCUCAUUUCUAUGGGGAAAAAAUCCAGGAACAUGAUCCUGCCCUAGCUGAGACUAUGCCAUCAGAGCAAGUGUGGAUAUAGAGUAUAGGUUGUGUCUUCCCUAAUUCUCUGUUGCACUCCAAAUUUCCCCUCUGGAGUUUUCCCAGCCCCAGGUUGUUCUGGCUUAUGGCAGUCCGUGGGAGGGAGAUGGUGCGUUUUCUUCAUCCUGACACCUCCUCAUCUUUCUGUGUGCACCAAGCUUGCAGAAGCAUCUUGAUGUAAAGAGACACUAAUAGGAGGUGGAUGUCUCUUACAAUCUGUGUUUGUCUGAAAAAUGGCAUAAAAGCCUCCUCCUUCCUGCCUCAUGAUUUGGCACUGUCAUUUUUGUUGCUGAUGAUGGCAGUCUUGCUAAAAGUAGCUUUACUUGGGAGCUUAUUGGUAAAGUCUUUACAAAAUGGUGACUAUUUUGUUAUGAUAAUUGGGAAAUCAAUUAAGUUUUGUUGAGUUUGGAAAGGAAUGUUGUGCUUCCCUCAGUUGUUUCUUUCUGUACUCAUGCUAUAACACUGUUUUCUUGAAGUCCUGUGUCAUGUAGUAGGUUUUUACAUCAGAAACUCCUACCAACCCCAACAUUUUAUAUUACACAAAGACACAAUCUAUUUGGAUUUUCAUACAUUUCACUGGACAGAUACAUAUGCUCAGAAGAUAAGAAUAGCGUAAGCUCAAGAUCUUCCAUAUUUAAAUCAUUUUUUUCAGCAAAAUUCCCCUGGUUUUACAUUUUUUUUGUUUCUUAUCCUAUAUGAGAACCUGACUCCCUCCCUGCUCAAGGCAAGAUGCACGUGAGCACUUCCAGAUGCUUUGCCAGUGUGUGGGUGGGUGCCUAUAGUGCACUUUGAUGCACUGUUCAGAUCAGACCUUUCUGAGACUCGUGAAACAUAGCACUGAAAUCUGCAACCUGCACCAGGGAGAGGAGUGCAGUACCCUGAACUCCUGUUAAUUACAGAGUUAAAAUAAGCCUCCCUCAGCUGCUUCUCUGAGACAGGCUUGCUCUAUUUGAAAACCAACUUUGAUCCUAGACAAAUCUUAGGAUAAAUCACAAAUAUGUCUGCUUUGGAAUAAAUCUAUGUGGUUUUUCUAGAUUUACAUUCAUGAAGGCUUAGCUAACACUAAUUAAUUUGGAAUAAGUUAGCUCAAACUGGAACAAGGCCAUCAAUUCUAGCCCAGAUUUGUACUGGGUGUUAUUUAGCUAUAUCUUUCAACGUAUCAUAUAUAUUAAAAUAAUUUUCUGUAUAUAUGUUUGCACAUACACACACACUCACAUAUAUUCCAUAAUGCAUUUUUUACUGUCAGUCUUCUACAUUCCAGUCAAUGGGCAGCUUGAAGUGUUGGUCAACACCAGGGAAGAAAAGCUUUAGAGAUUAUGGAGCAUCUUUCAAGAGAAACCUGUUGGAGACUGCUCCUUAUUUGAUAUUUCUUUAUUAAAAUAAGUUAUUGUACCAGUUGAUGGAGAAGUCAAGGGAAGAAUGAGGAACAUGAGGCUGAGUAAUGCUGCGCACACUCACGCCAUGGUGCUUGUUACUGUAUGAAAAUGGCCUGAGGUAUUGCUGUGUCCUUCUAAAUCCAUGUAGACUACAGAUACUUUCAUUAAAAGUAGCCUGUUGUAUAGGUGGCUUUUAUUUGUUGAACAUAAGCAGGGUCUUAACUGUUGCUUUUAGGUUUGCUAAUUGGAAAGGGGAUGAAUAUUUAUAAGUUUCCCUCCUCUACAGUCUUAGGAAUGAUAAAUGCAAAUCUUACAGAGCUGGUGCCUGAAUUAUAAGGUGGGCUUUCUAUCUUGGCAGAUAAAUCUAUUUUUGUAGAUCAAGAGCUGUUAGGUUAAUCACUUGCGAGUUUGAAAUAAAACGUGCUCAGGAAGACUCUUACACCCACUUACAGAGUCCAGCAGCCUCCUGCUGUCUCAGUUAGCACUCUGUGGUCUCCAUGUCAAAACUAUUGCCCUGACUCCUUUUCUCCUCUUUCUGAGAUGUAAUAACAAAUGCCUGUUAGAUCUUUCUUUGUGCAUCUCCUGGAUGCUGAGGUCUAGGAAGAAGAAGAAAGCCAAGUGCUCAGACAAGGAGGUGUUGAAAGAUUUGUGUGGAGAAAGACAAACUGCAAGAGGAGGAAGGUAACGAAAGUUCUGGUUGUUCUGUUACCUGAUUGAUAUUGCCAGAAGAACAUGGGAUGAAAUACUUGAAAGGGGAAGUGUUCUCCACCAUUUUAGUGUUCGAUGUUACAGGGAAAAAUAGGAAUUUUGAAAAAGACUUGUGUCAUCUGCUCGUAACUACAUGUAACUACACAGACAAAGGCUAUGUGCUUUCCUGCCACACUUCUCAGACCCAUUCUGCAUUCACUGUGGAUGAGGAAUCAUAUCUGGUGUGGCCAGAGGUCCACUCAAAGCAGAGUCCUGUCUUCCUGCUCUGUUUCUUUGGCUUCUGCAAUAUUGAUCCACACUGGAGCAUUUUGUUGGGCCCAUCACUGAGGCUGGUAAAGGCCCAGAGAUAAUAUACAGCCAGUUUCUAGCACACCUACCAUCAGAGCCAAGAUCUUUGGUUACAAGUAAAGCUGUAAAGAAAUCUGGCAGAGGCAAGCAAGGGUCAGGCAGCUGUAACUUCACCAGAAAAUACACUGCACCUAAUUUUCUCCUGUCUCUCUCCCCCCACUAGGGGUCAUAUUGUAAACGAUCACAUCUAAGCUUUCCCGGGCUUAAAAGAUUAUAAUGUGAUUAGAGUCGUGGGGAGAGCAAUAGGAGCCCUCAGUGCUGAAUGGAGUCAUCCCUGUGAGCUCCAGGACCAGUGAGUGCCUGCAAGGGCAUGGGAGAGCGAUGGGAACAGCAGAGGCUUUCUUCAAAUGGCUGUUUAGUUUUUUGGACAGAUGAACCAGCUGAAGUGUUUCACAUGUUCUGGGAUGUUUAGAGAAAGAAGAUGUUUGUGAGGGGAUGGCGUUUUUUCUUUAUUAACCAUUUCUGGUAUUCCCUUGUGGGUCUCGGAGUGCACGGAUGAAGGCAGGGCACGGCCUGAUCAGUGUGAAUGAGUGCUUGUGGAAAUCAGCUGUUUGGCAGGGGCUUCACAUUGAACACCAGAACUAGGGUGUAUUCAGGGCUAGGGAAGGUCAGGAAACUGAAGCCAUGUUUGAUGAUUAAGAUUUUCAUGAACUUCUUUCCACUGGCAGAUGUACGAGGCAGCUGAUGCUCUGUGGUGACAUCUCCCCAAGGCAAUUCACAGCCUUCAUGGGAAACGGUCAGCGAGCCUCUAUCUUGAGUCUGGCAGAGUAAGAUCAGAAGCGGACAAAAGCGACACUUGAGGAAGGAAAGGCUGAAACAAAAAGGUCCCAGCUGGUCCCUCAAGGCCUUAAGUCACUUGUGCAGUCAGGGAGCAAUGCCCAAGGCCUCUGUGCUGCUGCGUCACUUCCUGCAGGACUCAGUGCCCAGCUGCAUGGUGCCUUCCUUCUGACACGGCUUUCAGAAAAUAUAAAGAGUACAUGGAGAAUAAAUCAUCCAAGGACUUCAAGAUGCUGUUGGAGUGCCAGCUUGACUUUCUUCCCAGCAGAUGACAUAUGACAGGGACAGGGUAGGUCUGGUUGCUUAUUUUCUACUCCAGAGGGGUGUGCUAAUAUUGAUGCCCUUCUAGGUCUGCUCUGUAAGCUGCAAAAAAUCAGGAUCCACUUUCCUCAGUGGCUAGUUCACAUGAGGCUGGCAGAAGUAAGAGUGAAGCUCAGGUUGGGUCUGGUUUUGGGUGGGUGCCCAGAACAGCUGUGAGCUCAGAGCAACAGGCACCCUGUGUGGCACUCUUGAGAAUAGUGCACUUUAUUUAUGUAUUUACUUAAAUGGUGACACAAAAGGAGUGAAGUAGGUACAGUCUUGUUUGGUGUACACAUACUGCUCUACAAAAGGUAAUUAGAGCUUCUGGGCAGCAAGACCAACUGCAAUGGGACUGUGUGAGAGCUCCCAUAGACUCAUGUCCUCUCUCUUGCAGUUGCACAUAGCAGCUGCUGGCAGAUAAGCUCAGGAACAGAUCAAGCGUAGAGCAAUCACCCUGUGUCCCUCUCCACACCCAGCAGAGAGUGGUUCGGGGAUAUACUGAGCCAGAGGCAACAAUAUAAGCCCUGUGUUUCAAGCAAAAAUCCAAAACACAUGUUAGCAAUCAUGUCAGAUUGCUAAAUUUUCAAAACAAAUUCAAAAUUAGGUUUGGUUCUCAUAACUGAAGUGUUACGUCUCUCCUCACUGUAUGGUCCCACUGAGAAGGUGGAGCUGAGCAGCCUCCAUCCAGGCAGCUCCCAGCCCAGUGGGGUGGCUGCAUUGUGCUCCCACCUGGAGCCCAAAUGGGGCACCUGGAAGGUCAGGACAAACUACCAGUGGAUGGUGGCAGUCAGGAUUUCAGACCUUUUAUGAUGAGCAAUCUUUUUCUUAACUUUAAAAAUCUGUUGGGAAGGCCAGAGUAGGUCCUGAGUGCUGGAAUGAUUUGGCAUGAGCAGUAUGUGCGUUAGGUGGCCUUUUCUCUUGACCUUUUGAUCAGGGUUAAGUGCAAUAUCUAUUUAUACCCCUGCUGUUGAGGCACCUUACCCUGCUUUUGCAGGAAUGGUGGCUGCCAAGCUGAGUAGACCCAGAAUGGCUGAAUGCAGAAAAUAAACAAAACUGCAGUUGUCUUGUUUCUCUGCUACAGAACUCAGGUUCUGCAGCAGAUACAUCAGUUUGGCCAUCAGAAAGUUUUAUAAGUAACACUGUUUGCCUUAAAAUAAAAUAAAAAAGAAACAGCCAAGCAUUCCCUUCCCCGAGUGCAGUAUUAAGCCUGUGAAGCUGCUGGGAAGCUCCAGGCCUGGGCUCAAGGGGGAAGUGACACUGGCAGACCUUUAGCAGCACGUCUCUGCAUGGCAUUUGGCACACAUCAGCCUCAGCAUGCCCUAGGUUUGGCGUGCAGAGCUGAGCUGGGCUUUCUUUUUCAGCAGAGCAAUGCCACGUCUCUCAGAGAGAAGGACAUACAAAAGCUCACUCAGCAGCUUGCUCCUACAAACAUUUUAGCAGAUGCAUGUUGAUUGAAAGCAGGACUGGAAGGAAGGCUUUCUGCCUCCUUUAGAGCCUUCUCCUAAGAAGCAGGAGUUUUUUCCCUUUGAAUCAUCAGCCUUGAUACUGAUGCAGAGGGGAGUGUCGUGAACGUGUGUUCCCUGAAUUUAGAUGAGGUAAUGGUUGGCAUUGAGGCCUGCACUGCCAGCAAAAUGAGCUCUUUGACAGUCAGACAAGGCCUGUUCGUUCCUGCCGGCUUGUGAACUAAAAAAAUGCCAUUCAUAACCUGAAUAUGAGCUGGGGUCAUUUUAUCUAACCUAGAUCAGUACAUUUAAUGAGCCUCUUUGUUCGGUGGCAGGGCCAUGCAGGGCUGGGCCUUGCCCAGCUCCCCGUCAGCAUUGUGCCAUGCUGGGAAGUGCUGGUGGGAGCGGUGGCCUCACUCUCAGGGCUUUCAGGUUUACCUGUGGCUGCUGUUCCAAGCAUGUGUGCGGAGAGGGCUGCAAUUCAAAGCAGGGAGAGAGGAGAAGAGGGAGGGGUAGGGAUAGUUAGCAGGUACACUGUGAUGUGGGAGUGUAUAAAAGACUGAUAAAUCAAGCUAGUUUCAAAACAGUAUGUUACUAGCUUGGUGUUCAUGCAUAAAGUACAUUGCCAAUGGUUAAUUCCUAAUCGCUAUCCCGUCUAGAGUGUUCAGUCUGAACUCCCCACUACCAGGCAGGCAAGGACAUUUGUGGGUCCAGCAAGGUUCAUCAGUGUGUACUGACACCUGAUGGGGGAGUACAGAAAAUAGAGGCAGGCUCUUCUUGUUGGUGCUCAGUGAGAUGAGAAGUGGCAGUCACAAAGGGAAGGAUGGGAAAUUCCAUGUAAAAGUACAAAAAAUAUUUUUUUAUGGUGGGAGUGGUCAGGCAGCAGAAUGAUUGCCCAGAGAGGUUGUGGAGCCUCUAUCCUUGGAGGUAUUCAAAAUCCAUCUGGAUGUGGCCUCAAGCAACCUGCCUAGCUGACCUGGCUAUGAGCAGUAAGGUAGGACCAGAAUAUCUCCACAGGCCCCUUCCAUGCUCAGUGGUUCUCUAAUUACCAUUCUGUAACCUGUCGUUGUCUCCACAUACUCAAACAAUUAGUCCUUACCUAUCUUACCUUUAGUUGGCUAGGGGUAUUUAGGAUCUUGGAGCUAAAGCCACCUGUUAACACUGAUGGGCUCUUGCAUGAGGGAACGAGGCCCUAAAAUGGAAGCUUAUUUCUUCCUCUUUUUGCCUGCCCAUCAUGGAAGUUUUUACGUUUUUCAUCCUUGUGCAUGAAGGAGGGAGAGGGGGGUGAAGCUCUUGUAGUCCUGGCAUAGUUCACUUUACUUCCAGGCCCCGGAGUUGUUCUGGUUUUGCCAGACAUCUUUCCAUCUUGCUCUUCAGGGUUGUCCUGAUUCCACCAGACAUCCGUCCUGCCUGCCUUGCCUCCUCGAUUCAUAUCUUUCAGGCUUUACUGCUUGCAUAUAUUUUCCAGUACUGCCCUUGUGCCUCUCUACCACCAGUCUCCUUCUGCCCCUCUGGUUACAUAUUAUUUAUCUAUUUGUGCUUAGCUGUCUCUCAAAACACAUAAACACUAUGACUGGUGAUGCUACAAAAUGUGUCGCUUGCACAGUGCUGCUGGUAGGGCUGUUUUAGCACUGUGCUGUCUGAUUCCUAGGCCAGUAAACACUAAUUUUACUGUGUGCUUCUGCUACCAAGAGCAGUGGGCUUGUGCUUUGGUGACAGCCUGCACAGCUGCUCGUCUGUCAGGGCAGUCUCUGAGAAUCCAUAUACUGCUUCAUAAAUUCAGAAUGUCCAUCUCAUUAGCAUGGGUGUAGUCUUUUUACCUAUGACUUUGUAUUGUCCCAGCAAAUCCAUCUUCUUUGCUGAGGCAUGUUUUCCCUGGGACCUUCAGAAAGAUUCUGUCUCAUGACUCCUUUCCUUCCUUCUGUCCUGGGGUUAGACUGAAUUUGAAUUCCUUGGUUUCAUGGGAAUAAUCCUUCUUUGGAUUAAAAUAAGUCUUCAGUCUGAGAUUUACUUUGUACUUUUGCAUCUUAUGAAUUAUAUCAGAGCGAGGUGCCGAUGAGCAACUCUACCCCUAGCUGUUGGCAGCAGUAAUUUCUACUUGUAUUAUGUAAAUGGAAGCUUUCCACUGGAAAUUGCCUAUCCAUUUCCAGUGAAGGGAUUUCACACGGCCUACAAGGAAGGACCCAGCAAGGAUUCAGGCUACAACUAUGCUCAUUACACAGCCACCUGCCCUUUGUAAAAGGAUUUUCUACACCAGCCACAGAAGGACUAAAUGGUGUAGACGAUACACAGUUCACUAAGGAUUCUGCUCUGCCAUAUGAAGGCUGCCGUCACUUAGGUUUCUGCUGACCAUGCUGGGGUAGAGCAUGUCAAAGAGAACUCCUGACAUCACGGGAUCCAAAGCUACAAUUCUGAAUCAAAAAAAAAUUUAAUGUCCUUCUUGGUGACACAAACUUAAUGGAAAGUGACAGUUUUCCAUGAGGUAUAUUAGUGAAAAGGCAGAGGUAAACGGCACAGGCUGCAGAGGGUUCCUCAUCUCCCCUUCUGCUGCUGAGGCUGGAGAUACGGAGUACAGUCUGGUAUUGCCUUCAACCACUGCUUCUUAGCCUUAGCCCUCCAGUACUUGAGCCCAAAACUCAUGCAACCUGGAGAGAAAGAGCAGAGAAGGAGCAGAAGCUUUUUGGUGGUAGUAUCCCAUACUACAGCUUAGAGAAACUGUUCUUCACACAUAAAUCUCAGUCAUGUAUAUUGUGUAUCCGUCUAAUGCGGAUGCCUUCAUUUGCCUACAAUACUGGAAUUUUGUUGGGAAACAAAUUAGAAAAUACUUGUUUCUGUCCCUUUUGAAGGAGGAAUGAAAUACUGUCUACGUAUAGGAGAUAGAUUUUGAACUGAAAAGCUCAAGCAGUGUUUAUAAUCACGUUUAUAAAUUUGGCAGCAAGCUGGACAGAGCAACAUUUUGGAAACAGUUGUCUUCUAUCAUCCUCAGCAUGCUUUUGGUUUUGGCUCUGCUUCAACUAGAAGUUUUUCCAUCGGGCCUGGGAUUUUUUUAUAUUUCUUUUUAUUUUAAGAGACGUGAUCAGCUAAGAGUUAUUAUAUGUUGUGUUCUCGAAGUCUUUCUCCCUGUUAGGAUAAGAUUGUUAGACAUGACCCAUUAGAAAACAAUCAAAUGGUCCUUUCAACAUCUUAUGCUGAUUUAUCUGCUUUUUUGCACCUCAUUCAGUAUGGGCAAAAAAUAAAUAAAUAAAUAGACUGCUCUGUUUUGCUUUCCUGUCUGAGGAUCAUUUGCCAGUGCUUUGUGGAGAGGCAGCUGAGGGCUUGAGGCCAAAUUUGCAAAGCAGCAGAUGCCUGCAGAUACAGAAACCUAAAAGUUUUUCAAGUUUUUUGCCCAGCCCCCAUGAAAUAAUCAGAAUCAAAGCAAGAUAAGUAUUAUCUGUUUAGAUAGCUAUGUUCAGAGUUGCAUGUUAGAGAGUUUUGGAAGUCUGUGCCGUGAUGGUGCCUUUCUGGCUUAUAUCCAAGAAAAAAAAGAAAUAGAAAAGGAAGCUGAAGUCAAGAAUGCACUCGGUACAACUUUUUAUAGGAAAGAAAACACCAACAAGAGUAUUAACAAAUGCUCAAAUAUUUCACUGAUAUUAUUCUUCCAUAUAUGUAAUUGGCCUGAGAAUUGCAGUGAGUGGAAGAGGAGGUGGGCUGAGAAGCAGUCCUGCUCUUAAAAAUGUAUAACUGAGCCUGCAGUCUCUGCUGAUAUUUCUGGAUAUACCUGAAUCCUUCUCCUUGAAACUGAAAGAAAAUAUCUGACAAGCCGUUCUACUAUCAGUUUGGUAAAGCUUGUGUUAUUAAUGCACAGGCUGAAAGCGUGUCAGUUGCUGUAAGUGUUUUUCUGCCCUUCUUUAACUUUAUGCCUGUCUUGAAGAGUACUAUCACUUAUUGUCAAUUAGCAGUUGGUGUAUUCUUUUUUAAAAAUACAUUUUAAAUUAACGUGCAUACGUGUACACCCAACCACCCCAUCUGAAGGCAGGAAAGGUGAGAUAUUUUUUCCAAUGUUUGUUACUCGCAUGAGCCUGGGAAGUAGUAUGGGUUUUUAUGUAAGUCAUGCAUAUGUUUGCCUUAAUAGACUGUCCUUCAGUGAUUGACCUGGACUCUGUCUGGAAGGCUCCCACAGAAUAGUGGGGAAACUGGGCAGGAGAUGAGCAGCAUCAAACAUGAGAGAAGAGAAAGAGAAGGUGAGGCAGUGGUGUUGGUGAUCGGGAAAGACCUGCUGCCUUCAGGGCCAGCCUCAGCCAGGCUGCGGUGUCCAGCCCAGCCCCAAAGCAAACUUCUCUAAUACCUGUCUUAAGAGUUUUAGAAUCCCCACCCAACACCAGCCUUCACACCAUCCCAGGUGGCUUGAACACAGUUAUUUAAGUGAUUUGCUGAUAGUAAUACAGUUGUAAUUUGAGUGGUGAGAGGAAAGCACCAGGCUUCCUGUUUUACUGCUUGCUAGAAAUCCAGGGAGACAGCACACUUUGACUACAGUGGGGAGAGUAUGCAGAGCUCUUUGCAAACAGCUAUCUUAAGCCAAGGUGUGUCUCUUACCCAGAGAGAUACUCUACUUGAAUACUGUCAGCACACACUCCAAAAGGUAAUCAGCUUUCCUGGAAAAAAAACAAACCAACCCAACCAAACAUGUAACCAGUGAAUCAGCUGUCCCAGGCCUCCUCUUAGAAAAUCUCUGAUGCUUUCAGGAUUUGCCAAAGGGGAAAGAAGUCAUUAAUUUCUGUCCAUCCAUCUGGACUCAAAAGCAAAAUGUAAGAAGAAAACUGAAGUGAAGGAAGCAAGGGGUGGAGUUGGACUGAUGCUUCUGAGUCUUCCGUAUUCCCAGAGUAGCAUUUGGUUUUCCAAGAGGGAAACUGAAGGGGAGCAUCUUCUUCAUUCGGUUGAUGUGACCAGGGCAGGUCUGUCUUUCUCCAUUGUCUAGCUUCCUCUUCUCUUUCUCCCUGCUCUGCCAUAAAAGGGUGAGCACAGUGACCACAGGCUUUUGCAACAUGGUAUUCCCUAACAGCAAUUUGAUUCUGCAUUGCCAACAGGAGCAGAUGGCCUUAAUCAUGGAAGGAAAAUGCUUUCUCAGGCAAAUAUAUUCCAAGUUUACUGUACAACUGGGCUGUGUUUUAUCUCUGUUGAAAGGUCACCUAGAGGUAUUUUUAACAAUCUGCAAAGGUAAUUCCCAAAAGCCAGUGAAGAUAAAACGAGGCCAAUUUUAUACCAGCAAAAAGCUUAUUGAGAGAGAAAUGGCUCAAAGUACAACAAAGGAAGGCUGUAGAAAAUGUUAGCUCAUUUGGGAUAGGAAGUACAAAAGAACAGUGUUCAGUGGAUUUUAGACCAUUUGGCUGUGAUGUCCUUGAUGCUCAAUGAAAUGAGACAUGGAGAAGACUCCCCAAAGUGUCCUAAUUGUUUUUCAUUCAUUUAUCACAGAAUACAUUGCUCUGGACUCUUAUUCUCAUUUGUCUUCCCUCACACCCACUGCGGUCUCUCCUGAUCUUUGAGACAAUUUUGCUCCUUGAAUUGAUACUCCCAUUUUAAGGGAAAAACAUUUAGGUUUUUUCACACUGCCCACAGUCCUUCUAAUGGUCAUUAGGACAAGCCAAAGAGUCAACUGAGUGCUGCCAGGCCACUCUUUCUCUUGCACUUCCAUUUAGCUGCUCUAGCUUUAUAUGGACUUUAAUGAAAUAACCUUAGCAGUACUGUUCAGAUUCCUUAGGACUGCAUUGUUCCUGUUGGCACACUUAUGAUGAGCCAGAAGGAGUUUGAUUUGCAUGCAUGCACCAAACGCAGGUGUCUGCAGCUGUGCAAGCUCAUCUUUUGGAGAUGUACAUCAAAUAAUAAAAUAAAUGAUGACAGAUAUCAAGUUGUUCAUCACUCUUAAGUCUCAGUUACAGUGCUCUCAUCUUGGUAUUCUUCUACUCUCUGGGGAAAAUAGAAAAAAGAUGGUCGUGAAAGGCAGUUUCAACACUAUAAACCCUUCUAAAAAAUAUACAGGGGUAGAUAGAUGACAUGCCAGAAUAAUCCAAUCAUCUCAAACCUAAUGUGUUCUGCAGUUUCUUUAAAUACCCUAAUUCCCUGACAUUCUCACUUGUAUUUUGUACUUGCAUAUGUUUUGUUUAACUUUACAUGCUUGGUGAAGCACAUUGUUUCAAUUAAGCCUCAGCAACAUUUGGAAACAGGAACAGAAAACCCAAGGGAAUUGCUAUCUCCAAAGCAUGGCAGUGAUGCAGUCUGUGCUUCCUUCACAAAGUCCUUAGACAUUCCUAAUAAUUCACCCAAGAGCAGUGAGUUAUCAGUUUUGUACAUCUCAUGAAUUUUGAUUUCAGAGCAAUGUGUAACCUAAAAAGUGUUCGUAAGUGCAUUUUGAUUGAGUAUGCUAAGUGCUCCUCCUUUAGCUGUGUUACUUCUUCCAGAGGCUCUGUAAUACUUACAGGUUUUUCUGUGACAAACACCUUCUCCUGCUCCUGUUAAAGUUAAUGAGCAAAACUACAUUGAAUCUUGUGGGACACAAGACAAAACACUUUCAGAUGUGAAACAGAAGAAAAUGUGUCAGAGCUCAACACAGCCGUUCACAGCCUUUCCAAUGGCUUUGGACUAUCCUUGUAAGUAGGUGGCCAUUGUAGAACGCAUCUAAGAAUCACAAAAUAGCCAGAAAGAAAGACAAUGAGGAAAGAGACUUGAGGGACCUGUGUAACUGCCAGAGUGGCAACCAAAUGGGGGCAGGCAUGCUGAUGAGCUGUAAGAACUCUGCAACGUCGCUCUGAGCACAAAGUCAAAAGAAGACCUAGAAGACUUCCUAGGGAGAGGAAGAGAACAGCGAGCAAGAGAGAGUGUGAGCGUGUGAGAGGGAGAACAAGCACACUGUGGUGUUGAAACAGAACGUAUGUUAAUAACAAAUUGCUGCCCUUUAUUAAAAACUGUUGAAUGGGUUUCUACUGGUGGCAUUAAGUCCUUUCAUUUUUUACUGUCACACUGUUAUAAGCCAUUGUAGAAAUGGUUGGGUCAUAACUGACUGUGAUUACCACCUCAGUUCCAUGAAGGAUCCAGCCUGGUGUCCUCUGGCAUUUUUGCAGAUAUACCCAUUGACAGACUAGUUAUGUGCAGAAGAAAGCACUGUUCAGAGACAAAGGGAGAAUACCAAGGAACGUUAUCAACCCUUCUCCAUUUUACAAGUCCUUGUUGGUCGCUACAGUCAGAUUUUUGCCUUGGACGUAUUCUUACUUUUCACCCCAUAUCAGGUUCACUUGCUCCACAAGGCAAAAUCUCUCAAGGAGGUUUUGAAGUUAUUUGGAAAGACACGAUAAACCCUUUCAUCUUCCAAAUUUUCGUGGUGAGCUAAAGUGUUAGGCCUGUAUGUCCAAAGCAUGCUGCACUUGUACUGGCAGUAGACUAAAGUUAUUUUCUGAAAUCAUUUUUAUAACUUGAUGUUUGGAAGUUUUUAUCAUUUUGUUAUUGAAGUAUUCUAAAAUAAACUUAAUUUGUGAAUGAAAUUUUUUUAAAUGUCAUUUUAAUAUUUACUGCAGUGUGUGUACUUACCAUUGUCAGAGUGUUUAUAGCAUGGGCGUCCAACCUUUUGAUUUGCCUGGGCAGCAUCUGCAGCAGUUGCUCCAAAAGUAAUGCUGCAGGACGGGCUGGGCCAGGCUGCAUACAGCCUGUGGGCUGCGGGUUGGACAUGCCUGGUUUAUAGUAUGGAGGAGGGAGCAUGCUAAAAGCAAGUACAGUGAUUUAUAAGUCACUGCAAGCUGACACCACUGAAAGCUGAAGCCCUUCAUCUCUAGAGGAGCUGCAGCUUUGGCAGUAGCUGCCAGACUGUCCCAAGACUGGGCCUCAGCAUGACCCAUCUCAGAAGUGUUGCCUUGAAGGAGAGGCAAUGAUUGCCAAAUCUCCUUCAGCAUUCUAUUCUGCGCUUUGGAGAUUGCGUGGGAAGGUAACAGAUGCAUGUUAAACUAAGUUUAUUCAUAGGCACUGGGCUGAUGACACUCAUUUCAUAUGGGACAAUCGUGUGAUGUUAAUGACUUUAAACUGCAGCAGCCCUCCUGGUUGCCUGCUGAGCUAGAGAUCUCUCUGCUUCUGCCGUCUCAGCCAUCCCGUCCCUGAUGCUGACUUGUCUGAGCUUUACCCACAGAUCCAAAUUUUUACCCCAUAGUCUUUAUCUUUUGCUUAGAUAUCAAAGCAGCUGUUUCCUUCAAGAAGCAAUUAAUCACAGCAAUGUUUGUGUUUGGAAUUCAGCUAGUACAAGUAGAAGGACAGUUCUCUUCUGCUGCGGCUGUCUGGGGGGCAGCCAGCUGUGCAGUGUGCCCUGAAGUUCUGCAGUAUGGGAUUAUUUCAGACAGGAGAGGGAUCAUCUUAGCUGAUGCCACUUAGCAGCUCACUGCCUAAACUCUACCCAUCUUGAUCUCUGUGUGUUAGUGCAGGAGAAAUUUAUGGAGUGCAGGGCAUUUUAUGCAUGAAGAGACCAAAUGGCUUUUAUGUUGAAAGAAAGUGUUUUGGAACAAGAAAAUGCACAGCCUCACCAGAGGAACAAGAAUAGCAAGUUCAAGGAUUUAGAAGAUGUGUUAAUGAGUGUGUAGAUAAUGAGUGAAGUUCUAACUCUGAAGCCAAUAGAAAACAUUCAUUGACCUAACUGAAGCCAGGAUGUUGCCCAAGGUCUUUGUUUAGCAUUGAGGAUAACUUGUGUUAUCAGGAAAAAAAAAAAAAGC